rnacentral:rRNA from 1 species
UGGGGAAUUUUGGACAAUGGGCGAAAGCCUGAUCCAGCAAUGCCGCGUGUGUGAAGAAGGCCUUCGGGUUGUAAAGCACUUUUGUCCGGAAAGAAAUCCUUGGCUCUAAUACAGUCGGGGGAUGACGGUACCGGAAGAAUAAGCACCGGCUAACUACGUGCCAGCAGCCGCGGUAAUACGUAGGGUGCAAGCGUUAAUCGGAAUUACUGGGCGUAAAGCGUGCGCAGGCGGUUUGCUAAGACCGAUGUGAAAUCCCCGGGCUCAACCUGGGAACUGCAUUGGUGACUGGCAGGCUAGAGUAUGGCAGAGGGGGGUAGAAUUCCACGUGUAGCGGUGAAAUGCGUAGAGAUGUGGAGGAAUACCGAUGGCGAAGGCAGCCCCCUGGGCCAAUACUGACGCUCAUGCACGAAAGCGUGGGGAGCAAACAGGAUUAGAUACCCUGGUAGUCCACGCCCUAAAACGAUGUCAACUAGUUGUUGGGGAUUCAUUUCCUUAGUAACGUAGCUAACGCGUGAAGUUGACCGCCUGGGGAGUACGGUCGCAAGAUUAAAACUCAAAUGAAUUGACGGGGUCAUAGCUGUUUCCU